rnacentral:rRNA from 1 species
CCUACGGGCGGCAGCAGUGGGGAAUAUUGGACAAUGGGCGAAAGCCUGAUCCAGCCAUGCCGCGUGUGUGAAGAAGGCCUUCGGGUUGUAAAGCACUUUCAGUGGGGAAGAAAGCCUUGGGGCUAAUACCCUCGAGGAAGGACAUCACCCGCAGAAGAAGCACCGGCUAACUCCGUGCCAGCAGCCGCGGUAAUACGGAGGGUGCGAGCGUUAAUCGGAAUUACUGGGCGUAAAGCGCGCGUAGGCGGUCUGAUAAGCCGGUUGUGAAAGCCCCGGGCUCAACCUGGGAACGGCAUCCGGAACUGUCAGGCUAGAGUGCAGGAGAGGAAGGUAGAAUUCCCGGUGUAGCGGUGAAAUGCGUAGAGAUCGGGAGGAAUACCAGUGGCGAAGGCGGCCUUCUGGACUGACACUGACGCUGAGGUGCGAAAGCGUGGGUAGCAAACAGGAUUAGAUACCCUAGUAGUC